AUUGAACGCUGGCGGCAGGCCUAACACAUGCAAGUCGAGCGGCAGCGGGACCUUCGGGUUGCCGGCGAGCGGCGGACGGGUGAGUAAUGCCUAGGAAUCUGCCUGUUAGUGGGGGAUAACGCGGGGAAACUCGCGCUAAUACCGCAUACGUCCUACGAGAGACAGUGGGGGACCUUCCGGCCCCACGCUAACAGAUGAGCCUGGGUCGGAUUAGCUAGUUGGUGGGGUAACGGCCCACCAAGGCGACGAUCCGUCACUGGUCUGAGAGGAUGAUCAGUCACACUGGAACUGAGACACGGUCCAGACUCCUACGGGAGGCAGCAGUGGGGAAUAUUGGACAAUGGGCGAAAGCCUGAUCCAGCCAUGCCGCGUGUGUGAAGAAGGUCUUCGGAUUGUAAAGCACUUUAAGCCGGGAGGAAGGGCUGUAGGCGAAUACCCUGCAGUCUUGACGUUACCGGCAGAAUAAGCACCGGCUAACUUCGUGCCAGCCGCCGCAGUAAAAC
rnacentral:rRNA from 1 species